UACGAAGGGGGCGAGCGUUGUUCGGAUUUACUGGGCGUAAAGGGCGCGCAAGCGGUCUUGAAAGUCAGGCGUGAAAGCCCCGGGCUUAACCUGGGAAUUGCGCUUGAUACUCUGAGACUGGAGUACGGGAGAGGAGAGUGGAAUUCCCAGUGUAGAGGUGAAAUUCGUAGAUAUUGGGAAGAACACCAGUGGCGAAGGCGGCUCUCUGGACCGUAACUGACGCUGAGGCGCGAAAGCGUGGGGAGCAAACAGG
rnacentral:rRNA from 1 species